ensembl:lncRNA
CGCGGUUUUGGCGCGAUGCUCAGGUGAAGUCGUGAGUAUGGGUACAAAGCAAAGACUCUGUUAUUACACCACAAAAACUGUCAAAGCUGGGCUAGGCAAUCUCGCCGUGGUCCGGUAACCGAGGAGACAACAGGCGACAGGAAAGGAAAAAUUGGCGAUCACAAGAAGGCUCUACGCCAAAAGCCACAUGACCGCCGACGUCAGAUACCAGGCUAAUAGUUGCCAUGGGCACCUCACCAGAUAUGUCAGCGUAGCACUUUCAACUGUCAGGUAAUUUGUUCAAGAGCAACUCAUCAACCUUUUGUUCAGAACGCGUAUGACAGUAGACUACAGACUAUUGUCUGGCAAAACCAUGUAACCACCCUACACGUCAAC